UGGGGAAUCUUGCGCAAUGGGCGAAAGCCUGACGCAGCCAUGCCGCGUGAAUGAUGAAGGUCUUAGGAUUGUAAAAUUCUUUCACCGGGGACGAUAAUGACGGUACCCGGAGAAGAAGCCCCGGCUAACUUCGUGCCAGCAGCCGCGGUAAUACGAAGGGGGCUAGCGUUGCUCGGAAUUACUGGGCGUAAAGGGCGCGUAGGCGGAUCGUUAAGUCAGAGGUGAAAUCUCAGGGCUCAACCCUGGAACUGCCUUUGAUACUGGCGAUCUUGAGUAUGAGCGAGGUAUGUGGAGCUCCGAGUGUAGAGGUGAAAUUCGUAGAUAUUCGGAAGAACACCAGUGGCAAAGGAGACAAACUGGCUCAUUACUGACGCUGAGGCGCGAAAGCGUGGGGAGCAAACAGG
rnacentral:rRNA from 1 species